AAAUACUACCCAGUGACCGAUAGCGUAUAGUACUGUGAAGGAAAGGUGAAAAGCACCCCGGGAGGGGAGUGAAAAAGAACCUGAAACCCUGUGCCUACAAGCACCUAGAGCGCGUCAAAGCGUGAUAGGGUACUUUUUGUAGAACGGUCCGGCGAGCGAUUGUAUGCAGCAAGGUUAAGGACUUAAGGUCUGGAGCCGAAGCGAAAGCGAGUUUGAAAAGGGCGUUAAGUUGCAUAUAAUGGGCCCGAAACCGGGUGACCUACCCAUGGUCAGGUUGAAGUGGAAGUAAAAUUCCAUGGAGGACCGAACCGACCUCCGUUGAAAAGGCGGCGGAUGAACUGUGGGUAGCGGAGAAAUUCCAAUCGAACCCGGAGAUAGCUGGUUCUCCCCGAAAUAGUUUUAGGACUAGCCUCAAGUUAGAUACCUGGAGGUAAAGCACUGAAUAGCCUAGCGGCCGAGAGGUUAGCGAAGCUUAUCAAACUCAGAAUGCCAGAGUAUUGAUGCUUGGGAGUCAGACAGUGUCAGAUAAAUGUCAUUGUCAAAAGGGAAACAGCCCAGAUCUACAGCUAAGGUCCCAAAGUCAGGUUAAGUGGAAAACGAUGUGAAGAUACGUAGACAACCAGGAUGUUGGCUCAGAAGCAGCCACUCAUUCAAAGAGUGCGUAAUAGCUCACUGGUCGAGCGUCUUUGCGCGGAGAAUUUAACGGGGCUAAACCUGACACCGAAGCUUAGGCAAUACAGCAAUGUAUUGGGUAGGGGAGCGUUGUAUACGCGGUGAAACAGUAGCGCAAGCGGCUGUGGAGUGUAUAGAAGUGAGAAUGCCGGAAUGAGUAGCGCGAAUGCAGUGAGAAUCUGCAUGGCCGAAAGCCUCAGGUUUCUGGAGGAAGGUUCGUCCGCUCCAGGUUAGUCGGGAGCUAAGGUGAGGCCUAACGGCGUAGCCGAUGCACAGACGGUAGAGAUUCCGUCACCACCAAAAGAGUUAAGCACAGGGACACAUAUGAAGUCUCAGAGCCGGGUGUUGGUUCCGGUAGAGAUCGAGGGAAGUUAGUACCGAAGUCUGAGAUGGAAGAUGGCGAGAAAAGCUGUGUGUAUUUCUGAGGUGCCCGUACCGCAAACCGACACAGGUAGGUAGGAAGAAGAUUCUAAGGCCAACGGGAGAAGGGUUGUUAAGGAACUCGGCAAAUUGACCCCGUAACUUCGGGAGAAGGGGUGCUGCAGCAAUGCAGCCGCAGAGAAUCGGCCCAAGCAACUGUUUACCAAAAACACAGGUUUGUGCUAAAUCGAAAGAUGACGUAUACGAGCUGACGCCUGCCCGGUGCUGGAAGGUUAAGAGGAGAUGUGCAAGCAUUGAAUCGAAGCCCCAGUGAACGGCGGCCGUAACUAUAACGGUCCUAAGGUAGCGAAAUUCCUUGUCAGGUAAGUUCUGACCCGCACGAAUGGCGUAACGAUUUGGGCACUGUCUCAACAGCCCGCCCGGCGAAAUUGUAGUACCGGUGAAGAUGCCGGUUACCCGCGACAAGACGGAAAGACCCCAUGGAGCUUUACUGUAGCCUAAUAUUGGGUUUCGAUGUUGCAUGCACAGGAUAGAUGGGACACUGGGAAACAAUCGCUUUGGCGGUUGCGGAGUGGCCGUUGGGAUACCAUCCUUGCGAUAUUGGAAUUCUAACCUGCGGCUCUGAAUCGAGUCGGGGGACAUUGUUAGGUGGGCAGUUUGACUGGGGCGGUCGCCUCCUAAAAAGUAACGGAGGCGUUCAAAGGUUCGCUCAGCUUGAACGGAAAUCAAGCAAAAGAGUGCAAACGCAGAAGCGAGCCUAACUGCGAGACUGACGGGUCGAGCAGUAACGAAAGUUGGAGUUAGUGAUCCGGUGGUAUGUGAGUGGAAAUGCCAUCGCUCAACGGAUAAAAGUUACCCUGGGGAUAACAGGCUGAUCUCCCCCAAGAGUCCACAUCGACGGGGAGGUUUGGCACCUCGAUGUCGGCUCAUCGCAUCCUGGGGCUGUAGUCGGUCCCAAGGGUUGGGCUGUUCGCCCAUUAAAGCGGUACGCGAGCUGGGUUCAGAACGUCGUGAGACAGUUCGGUCCCUAUCUGUCGUGGGCGCAGGAUAUUUGAUGGGAGCUGUUCCUAGUACGAGAGGACCGGAGCGGACGUACCUCUGGCGCACCAGUUGUUCUGCCAAGAGCAUAGCUGGGCAACUAUGUACGGAUCGGAUAAACGCUGAAAGCAUCUAAGCGUGAAGCCGACCCAAAGAUAAGAUAU
rnacentral:rRNA from 1 species